rnacentral:rRNA from 1 species
UACGGAGGGUGCAAGCGUUGUUCGGAAUAACUGGGCGUAAAGAGCGCGUAGGCGGGCUCUUAAGUCGGAUGUGAAAGCCCCGGGCUUAACCUGGGAACUGCAUCCGAAACUGAGAGUCUUGAAUGCCUGAGGGGUUGAUGGAAUUCCAGGUGUAGGAGUGAAAUCCGUAGAUAUCUGGAGGAACACCAGAGGCGAAGGCGGUCAACUGGCAGUGCAUUGACGCUGAGGCGCGAAAGCGUGGGGAGCAAACAGG